AGGGUGUAAACGCUGCAGACUUGGUGUUGGAGGCCCUUUGGGGGCAUUCAGUGCCGGAGAGAAGUUGUUAAGCCUGCUACUUGGGGAGUACGUCCGCAAGGAUGAAACUUAAAGGAAUUGGCGGGGGAGCACCGCAACGGGAGGAGCGUGCGGUUUAAUUGGAUUCAACACCGUAAAACUCACCAGGGAAGACUGUUACAUGAAGGCCGAGAUGAAGACUCUGCUAGAUUUUCAGAGAGGAGGUGCAUGGCGUCAGUGACU
rnacentral:rRNA from 1 species